rnacentral:rRNA from 1 species
GAUGAACGCUGGCGGCGUGCCUAAUACAUGCAAGUCGAGCGAACAGACGAGGAGCUUGCUCCUCUGACGUUAGCGGCGGACGGGUGAGUAACACGUGGAUAACCUACCUAUAAGACUGGGAUAACUUCGGGAAACCGGAGCUAAUACCGGAUAAUAUAUUGAACCGCAUGGUUCAAUAGUGAAAGACGGUUUUGCUGUCACUUAUAGAUGGAUCCGCGCCGCAUUAGCUAGUUGGUAAGGUAACGGCUUACCAAGGCAACGAUGCGUAGCCGACCUGAGAGGGUGAUCGGCCACACUGGAACUGAGACACGGUCCAGACUCCUACGGGAGGCAGCAGUAGGGAAUCUUCCGCAAUGGGCGAAAGCUUGACGGAGCAACGCCGCGUGAGUGAUGAAGGUCUUCGGAUCGUAAAACUCUGUCAUUAGGGAAGAACAAAUGUGUAAGUAACUAUGCACGUCUUGACGGUACCUAAUCAGAAAGCCACGGCUAACUACGUG